UACAGAGGUCUCAAGCGUUGUUCGGAUUCAUUGGGCGUAAAGGGUGCGUAGGUGGCGCGGUAAGUCGGGUGUGAAAUCUCGGAGCUUAACUCCGAAAUUGCAUUCGAUACUGCCGUGCUUGAGGACUGGAGAGGAGACUGGAAUUCAUGGUGUAGCAGUGAAAUGCGUAGAGAUCAUGAGGAAGACCAGUGGCGAAGGCGGGUCUCUGGGCAGUAACUGACGCUGAGGAGCGAAAGCGUGGGGAGCGAACAGG
rnacentral:rRNA from 1 species